rnacentral:rRNA from 1 species
CCCUUAGAUGUUCUGGGCCGCACGCGUGUUACACUGAGUGGAUCAGCGGGUCAGGUUGCGCGAAAGCGUUUCCUAAUCUUUAAAUCCGCUCGUGAUGGGGAUUGACGGUUGCAAUUUUCUGUCAUGAACGAGGAAUACCUUGUAAGCGCGGGUCAUCAUCCCGCGCUGAAUACGUCCCCGCCCUUUGUACACACCGCCCGUCGCUCCUACCGAUUGAGUGGUCCGGUGAGGCUUUGGGAUCUGAGCGGAAAGAGCGUUUCGCUGUUUCUGCUCGGAAAACUCAGUCGAACCUUAUCAUUUAGAGGAAGGAGAAGUCGUAACA